GUUACAUCUUUUCUUUUCUCCCAGCCGCCCCCUUCCCUAAAUCCUUCUCUUCCUCACACGCACAAGAUUUAUUUAUUUUUUAUCAGAGAUUUGCUAUGGCUAAGGACAAGAUCGACGGUCAAGAUCAGGGGAACCAAUACGACGACGAGGAAUAUGAAGACUCCUCGUCGUCCUCGAGAAGAUCACAGAAAAAAAGAAUUACUCGUCUUCAAACAUGAGGCGUCGCUGGACGGCGUCCAUGCCGGGGUCAGGAGCGUCUCCCAUGGCGACUUGAAAAGACGAGAAUACCCUCGCGGUGAUACGAGAGACUUUGGGGAGACGAAGGGCAAAAGCGGAAGAAGUAGAGAAAAGAUGAUGUCGGUAGUUUACAAAAGAAGUGGGUUGUUGUUGUUGUAUUAAUAUUGGAAAGGAGAGUCUGGCAGCAGCAGCGGUAGUCAUAUCAAUUUUCUUUUUGAAUUUUGUGAUAAGUUUUCUUGUGGGUAUCUUAGAAUUAGUUAAAAAUUGUGUCAAUAUUUCAAGUUCUUUUAUUUUUUGCAAUUUUUUUUUCUCAAGAUUGCAACAUGAUUUUUAACUAUAUGACAGUAAUUUUUUU